UAAUUAAGCGGAGGAAAAGAAACUAACUAGGAUUCCCCCAGUAAGGGCGACUGAAGCGGGAAGUGCUCACCAUGUGAAUCUGUACAGAUCUGAUCUGUGCCGAAUUGUGGUCUGUAGAAGCGAUGUAUGUCAGUGUCUCGGGCCAAGUCCUUUGGAAAAAGGCAGCUGAGAGGGUGAGACUCCCGUUCUUGCCUGAGAGAUUUGACUAUAUUCAUGCCUUCAACGAGUCGAGUUGUUUGGGAUUGCAGCUCAAAUUGGGUGGUAAAUUCCAUCUAAAGCUAAAUAUUGGUGGGAGACCGAUAGCGAACAAGUACCGUGAGGGAAAGAUGAAAAGAACUUUGAAAAGAGAGUUAAAGAGUACCUGAAAUUGCUGAAAUGGAAGCAAAGGAAACCAGUGUUAUUUUGCAUCAUUUUUCCCCUGCUGCUUGCAACAGGGGCGCUGUGAUGUAAGGUAGGCCAGUAUGGGUUUGAAUCGGGGCAAAAGCUUUUGCUGCCCUGGUUUGGACUGAGGUUAGCUCGUGUGAUGCUGGCGAAAUGGUUUUCUUUACCC
rnacentral:rRNA from 1 species